rnacentral:rRNA from 1 species
AUUGAACGCUGGCGGCAUGCCUUACACAUGCAAGUCGAACGGUAACGGGCCUUCGGGUGCCGACGAGUGGCGGACGGGUGAGUAAUACAUCGGAACGUGCCCGAUCGUGGGGGAUAACGAGGCGAAAGCUUUGCUAAUACCGCAUACGAUCUACGGAUGAAAGCAGGGGACCGCAAGGCCUUGCGCGGACGGAGCGGCCGAUGGCAGAUUAGGUAGUUGGUGGGAUAAAAGCUUACCAAGCCGACGAUCUGUAGCUGGUCUGAGAGGAUGAUCAGCCACACUGGGACUGAGACACGGCCCAGACUCCUACGGGAGGGAGCAGUGGGGAAUUUUGGACAAUGGGCGCAAGCCUGAUCCAGCCAUGCCGCGUGCAGGAUGAAGGCCUUCGGGUUGUAAACUGCUUUUGUACGGAACGAAAAGCCUUCUUUUAAUACAGGAGGGUCAUGACGGUACCGGAAGAAUAAGCACCGGCUAACUACGUG